rnacentral:rRNA from 1 species
CACGUAGGGGGCAAGCGUUGUCCGGAAUCAUUGGGCGUAAAGAGCUCGUAGGCGGCUCAGUAAGUCGGGUGUGAAACCCUCAGGCUCAACCUGGGGACGCCACCCGAUACUGCUGUGGCUAGAGUCCAGUAGGGGAGUGUGGAAUUCCCGGUGUAGCGGUGAAAUGCGCAGAUAUCUGGAGGAACACCGGUGGCGAAGGCGGCAUCCUGGACCGGCAUUGACGCUGAGGCGCGAAAGCUAGGGGAGCAAACGGG